AGAAAACCCUAUUUGUUCACAAUCUGAAGAAAUGCUCGCAUGGGCUAAUCUCUUUUUUCAACUAAAGCUUCUGGGUCAUAAUAUAUAUGUAUUUGUCUACUAUGGUGUUCUUGGAGAUACAGUCUGAGGUCCAAAGAUGCAAGCUGGCCAUUUUUGUUAGAAACCUGGUCAGAUGAUACAUUGACAUGCCUUGCCGAUAACAAGUGUUGUUUACAGGAUGUUGUAAGAAAAAGAAUGGCAUCUCCAAAUAAUACUAAAUAACUCACAGUAGAGAUGAAAGAUCUUCGUAAGGUUCAUCAUGUCAGUCUGGUAUGCCAUUUUACAGUUCUCAUAGGAUACCUAAUCUAGAUUAUAUCUCAAAACUCCUGUUGUUUCUUAUUUAUUUGGUGACCAGUGUUUUGUUAAAUGUGUGUGUAGUUGAUUGGCUAUGCAGGAAGGAUGACUUGUUCCUGUUUUAUGGGUACUCCGAAAAGUUACAUCUAAAAACCAUCUUCAUGAUCCUCAAAGCAAAAGUGUUCUAUGGCCAAGAAUUCGCUCCUUUGUAUCAGUAUCUUGAUGGUGUUUUUUUUUUCUGUUUUGAGGAAGAGAGAACUUCAUUUCAUAUGAUAUGAAAAUUCUUGAAAUCAUCUGGUACAAAAGACUGACACUGUUUCUUUGUACAGGAGCUUGGUGUAACCAGGAACUAACCAAACUAUUGAUUGUUGCAUAAAGAGCUACCACAUGUGCGACACGAAUUAACUCUCUCUUCACCUUGGUGACCUUCAGACUGGACAACGGCUGCACAAUCACUCUCAAAAUUAAAUGGGCCAUGGCACCAGGAGCAGCAAGGUCGAGGCCCUCCCUGAGAGCAUUCAGUUCAGCUUUCCUAGCAUUCAGGCAAUUAGCAAAGCAACAUCGCCUGAGGUGUAGAGUCAGUUCGGGUCAUAGAGAGGCCAGCAGGAGAUCUUCUCAGCUUUGUGGAGGUAGCCCACAUAGGGGCAUCAUUGAGCAGGCUAGCGGCGACCACCAUUGCUCAAAUGCUCCUUCCAGGGAUGCUCAGCAUCCUCCCAACAGAAUAACAAAUCCACAACUCCAACAAUGAGGAGUGAAGAAGAAAAUCAAUACACUGAUGCUCCCUUCGGCGAUGAAGCAGACUCCACACCCUCCAUCGAUUUCUUCAGCAAAGGCCUACAACUCAUCAUACUUUCCUCCGUCCAUGGGGACAAUGCCGCCGAGCACUGAUGAGUCAAACACCAAGCAACAUCAGCACUACCAGUCAUACCAUCCUACUAUGCAAUUUCCUCCAGGCAUGUAUCACCAAAAACAUGUUGUGCUUUAGGUGAAGUAGAACCUGAUGUCUUCUACAUAUCACACAUGUAAGAUGAUGCCAUUAACUAUGUAGUAAGAUGUAAUUAUGUCUUAGUGCUUAUCCAAGGCAAUCCCAUGAACUAUGUAAUUAAGUCUAAUUAUAUAUCACCGCUACUGUCCAUCAUUG